rnacentral:rRNA from 1 species
GAUGAACGCUGGCGGCGGGCCUAAUACAUGCAAGUCGAGCGAACAGACGAGGAGCUUGCUCCUCUGACGUUAGCGGCGGACGGGUGAGUAACACGUGGAUAACCUACCUAUAAGACUGGGAUAACUUCGGGAAACCGGAGCUAAUACCGGAUAAUAUAUUGAACCGCAUGGUUCAAUAGUGAAAGACGGUUUUGCUGUCACUUAUAGAUGGAUCCGCGCCGCAUUAGCUAGUUGGUAAGGUAACGGCUUACCAAGGCGACGAUGCGUAGCCGACCUGAGAGGGUGAUCGGCCACACUGGAACUGAGACACGGUCCAGACUCCUACGGGAGGCAGCAGUAGGGAAUCUUCCGCAAAGGGCGAAAGCCUGACGGAGCAACGCCGCGUGAGUGAUGAAGGUCUUCGGAUCGUAAAACUCUGUUAUUAGGGAAGAACAAAUGUGUAAGUAACUAUGCACGUCUUGACGGUACCUAAUCAGAAAGCCACGGCUAACUACGUG